GACGAACGCUGGCGGCGUGCUUAACACAUGCAAGUCGAACGGAAAGGCCCCUUUGGGGGUCCUCGAGUGGCGAACGGGUGAGUAACACGUGAGUAACCUGCCCUUGACUUCGGGAUAACUUCAGGAAACUGGGGCUAAUACCGGAUAGGAAUCCUUGCUGCAUGGUGGGGGUUGGAAAGCUUCGGCGGUUUUGGAUGGACUCACGGCUUAUCAGCUUGUUGGUGGGGUAGUGGCUUACCAAGGCUUUGACGGGUAGCCGGCCUGGGAGGGCGACCGGCCACAUUGGGACUGAGAUACGGCCCAGACUCCUACGGGAGGCAGCAGUGGGGAAUAUUGCACAAUGGGCGGAAGCCUGAUGCAGCAACGCCGCGUGCGGGAUGACGGCCUUCGGGUUGUAAACCGCUUUCAGCAGGGGCGAAGCUUGUGGUGACGGUACCUGCAGAAGAAGCACCGGCUAACUACGUG
rnacentral:rRNA from 1 species